GACGCUGUCAAUUUAGAUGUUUGUAGUGGAGAAAGAUUUAAUUAUAUUAGACCUUAAAAUUAACCGAGGCAAUCUUGUUCAAUCCAUUUAAUAUUCUGAAAACCGGAAGUUGGAUGAUACAUACUAUCUGUAUAUUUUUAAAGCUCCUGAUGAUGCCCCAACCAGACGAAAUAUGUAGGACAUAUAUUGCAGAAUAAAAAUCCAUUGACUCACCACGGCUGGUCCAUUUGUGAGAGACGGAGCGGCUUCGGCAGACCAUGGGUCGAAGGACACAGGCCACCCAAGUAGACCGAUGUCGGGACAUCCAUCAAAGGCGCGCCCUCCUACCAUCGCCGCUA